AUUGAAGGCUGAAAUUCGCCUUUAUGAAGCCGGAAUUGCUAGUAAUGGCAGGUCAGCAUACUGCCGUGAAUACGUUCCCGGGCCUUGUACACACCGCCCGUCACACCAUGAGAGUUGGAAAUACCCGAAGCCUGUGAGCUGACCGUAAGGGGGCAGCAGUCGAAGGUAGAGCCAAUGAUUGGGGUGAAGUCGUAACAAGGUAUC
rnacentral:rRNA from 1 species